GACAGAGGGUGCAAACGUUGUCCGGAAUUACUGGGCGUAAAGCGCGUGUAGGCUGCUUCGCAAGUCGGAUGUGAAAGCCCUGGGCUCAACCUAGGAAGUGCAUUCGAAACUGCGAAGCUUGAGUCCUGGAGAGGAAGGCGGAAUUCUCGGUGUAGAGGUGAAAUUCGUAGAUAUCGAGAGGAACACCGGUGGCGAAGGCGGCCUUCUGGACAGUGACUGACGCUGAGACGCGAAAGCGUGGGGAGCAAACAGG
rnacentral:rRNA from 1 species